UUUCGCUCCGUUGAUAGAUAAAGGGAGCGUGGAGCGGGGUUGACGUUCCCCCCUCGGAUCUUUGCACAGUGGAUGCGCCUAUGCUGAGCUUGCGCAGUCGGUGUCUCCUCAACUGUAGCCUUGGCCGUCUAGACCCCCUCCGUGUCGUCCCACGCUGCUCCCCUCCCCCACUGUCGCGAAGCUCCCGCCGGAACCAGCCACGUGCCGCCAGCCGGGCAGGGGGAAACCAUUCUCAAGCUGCUUUCGGGCUUCGGAACCGUCCCCCUUCUCCGGUGGGGGUGCAGCCCAUGGCCACAGUACCUGGUGGGGACCCUUGGAAGAACUUGGUCCUUUUAAAUGCUAAAUAGUGGUCUGGGAAGUUUGAACUCAUUCUUCCAACUCCACACACCUUAGCUACUCCCCGUAACUGCUUCUGCUGCUAAAUUGACGCUGGAAUAUAGAAAUCUAAGAGAAAGAACUUUGAAAACUCCUGGAAGUUACAAAUACCUGUGUCCUGGUGUUCAAUGACUGUACAUUGAACAACUUUAGAAGCUAGAGAAAAUGACUUUCCUUGGAAAAAAGAGCAGGUUUCUUUUUCACAGUGCAACCCACCAAUCAUGCAAGCAUCAUCUGAGUCCAUGGGAUAUGAGGACAAAAGAAACUGAUGAAAAUAUACAGAUGCUUACGCUGUUUGUUAUGCUGUUUCUUUUAAAUAAUAGGACACCACAGAAAAUAACGAAGAAAUAACUGAAUAAAUGGCUUUGGUGCUUUCCAAAAUAGAGCAUAACACAAGGAGACAAGUGAUUUCUGGCUGUCCUCCAUGUGUGUGAACACAACCACCAGCCCCUGGGAAUUGGAGGCUUGGGUGUCAGCAGAGCUCAGAAGCUCCGAGAACUUUUGGGAAUGCCUUGAGGACAUGCUUCAGGGACUGGGCUUAUGUGGGGGUAUGAGCCAGCAGAAGAGACUGAAAAAGAAUUAAUUUAAAAUAAAGAAUUUUCAAUUCUUUCUCCAAAUGUUUCAAAGACAUUGUUUGAAGGAGAAAUUGGAAAGAUUCAAAUAAUUUUUGGAGGACAAUCACACUCACAUAGUAAUCAAUGCUUGGGCAAACUUCAACAAACUCCACCAAAAAAAUAAUUUGUGUGAUUGAAUUAUCAGAGAAACCUGAUACCUUCCAAGGUGGAAGACUCCCAGUGAUGGCCAAAAUGAAAGACGAUGUGACCAUCACAAGGUGGCGAGCCACCAUUAUGGGAUUGCUGAGAAUCACCACAUGGACAACAGAAGAACAUGCAUCCACAUGUAUAUGUACACAGUGGUUGCAUGUCCAUAUAAAAGUGGCUUCAAUUCAAUAUCCUUGGAUUAGAAGACACAUAUCCUUUUACUAUUGAAAUUUCUUGUACCAUAUGGAGUGAAACUAUAGGCAGGCUGUGUUCUCUUAUCAAAAUAUUUGCUUCUUGAUUGGUUACUGUGGUUUCAAAAUAUUAACUUGUUGAGUUUUUUCUUUUUCUUUCUGUAUAUGCUCACUUUUUUUGGCAGGACUGUGACAGCUUUGGAAUAUAAUUUUUAAAGGGCAGCUGUGCAAAUUUGGCAGAUAAUCACUAGUAAAAGAAUGCUUUGGAUUAGACCCAUAAUGAACCAUUAUCAUUAGCUUCUUUCAACAGGAUUAGAAACACAAAUACAUAUGUCAAUACAUAUUACAUGUGUAUUAAAUGUAUGCAUAUUUUAAUUAUAAUGCUAAUGCACAUUUUUAUACAAACUCAAUACAUGUUACUAUUCAAGGUUGAUUAAAUUCAAGAGGUUGAAAUGAAUCCAAUAAAACAAGAUUAGAAAGAGAUUAGAAACCAAUUUUAAUUACAAAAUGGCUGCCUCAAACCCUUUUAGUAAGUAGGCAGAUAUAAAUAAUAAAUAGAACCAUUUAGAGGCUUUUCUUGACAAGUGGCCUUGGGCUGGAAUUCUGGAGAGCUGUAUUUGGCUCAUAUCCUCAACUCUGGCUUUCCUAGUGACCUUUAGUAAUUGUUUUAUAGAUCCUUUAGGAGCUAGGAACAUAUUAGAUGAUCAAUAAGUGCCUUGGAAUUCCUUAAAGCCUAGAAAAAAAAAAUUUCGAGUCUUUGUUUUCCUGAAGAAAGGUAUUUGAGGCCUUUGAAGGAGAACCUGAGACAAAUCUGAGACAAAACAGAGACUCUUGGGGACUUCAGAUUUUCUAAAUCAAAACUAGAUUCUAGACAGUGUGGUGUUGCAUGCCUGUAAUCUCAGUGACUUGGGAGGCUGAGGCAGGAAGGUCUCAAGUUGGAGGGCAUCCUCAGUAAUUUAGCAAGACUCUGACUCAAAAUUAAAAUAAAUAAAUAAAUAAAAGUGAACUGGUUAUAGCUCAGUGGUAAAGCAUUCCUGGGUUCAAUCCUUAGUUCCAAAAGCAAAACAAACAAAGGAACGAACAAAAAAGCUAGAUUCUAUGGUCUUGAAAGAAGUCAGGAUAUUUUUUCAGCAUAAAAACCAUAUGUUAGAGACAUUUUGAAAUGUCACAUAAUCUAUACUUUGUCAUACACUUAUCUAUAACUUAUCAUUAAAGCUAUUUUUUAAAAAUACUUUGAGCUUCAGUGGAGAUGUUCAGAAGAAAAAAGGCUUGCUUUGAGUUUUUAUCACUGCGGCUUUGUCUCUUGGGGUUUCACUGUCUGCAUUCAUGAAGCUCUUCAGCCUUCCCGAAUGUGUAGUAAUAUAUUUAUAUGUGCCUGAAAUAUAUAUUUGGAAGAGGGUGUUAUAGUUUAGACAUUAGGUGUCACUCAAAAGCUCAUGUAUGAGCUAAUAUAAGAAGAUUUAGAGGUGAAAAGAUUGGGUUAUCAGAGUCUUAACCUAAUCAGUGCAUUAAUCCCCUGAUAGGAUUGGGUAAUAACUGCAGAAAGGCAGGGUGUGGCUGGAGUAGGUGGGUCACUAGGGCUUUCCUUUGGGGUUUAUAUUUUGUCCUGGUGAGACGAGAAGUAUCUCUCUGCUUCUUGAACCCAUGUUUUGAGCUACUUUCCUACUUUACACCUUUCUGCCAUGAUGUUCUGACUCAGCUCGGGCACAGAGCAAUGGAGUUGGCCAUCUAUGAACAGAGACCUCUGAAAUUUUGAGUACCAAAUAAACUUGUUCUCUUCUAAAAUUGUUCCUGUCAGGUCUUUUGGUCACACUGAUGGAAAAACUGACUAAAACAAGGGUAUCAUUCUGCCACUCUUCUUAUAUAUCCAUUAUAUGUUUCUUUAGGAAUUAAUACAAAUGAAGUUCAGUAAAUCAUAACUAAAAUUACUACAAUUUUCAUCAAGAUAAAAGUCAAGGUUGAGUGAUGUGGUAUAUUAUUUUAAAGAGAUUAAUUCCUUUUCCAUAUUCAUACCUUUAUAGAAUCUCCUUUCAUGCCAACUUUGGACUUGGUCCUGUAACAUACUUUGGCCAAGGGGACAAUUGCAAACAUGAUGGAAAUAGAUUCUUAAAAAGAGCUUGUGCAUUGGGACUUUCCCUCUGUUGCUGUUCUCAUUCAUUCCAAGUACCAUGAGAAGAAGCCCAGGUGAGUGAGUCUGCUCUGGGAUAAGAAACACAACAGCCCAGGAACCUUUGUCACCAAACCAAUAGCCAGCACUGACUGGAACACAGCACCAAUCAAGAAGCUCAAGAUACCAGAUAUUUAAGAGAUACCAUUUUUGAUCAUCUGGUCACUAACUGACGACAAACCACAGGUAAGCAAGAGGCCAGCAGAGAGGAGUUAAGCUGGGUCAGAACAGAAUUGUCCUGUGAGCAAUAGUUUUGAGGGUGGUUUGUCCUUGUGCAAAAGUUGAUUAAUGCAGGAAGGGAGAGGUAAAAUGAAAGGCAAAGUUGAGAGUAAGUUUGAGUUGAAGGAAAUUCAGUUGUAAGGGAAUGACAAUAAAUAAUCUCUCUCAAAGACAGAACUCAGUCAUAUAGGUUUUUGGAGAACUUGUGUGCACAAGGGUGGUAAAGUUCCUGGAGUCAACACCUCCUUUCCCCUCUACUUUCAUCUCCCUGAUUCUGGAUGUUCAGGGUCACAAGGAAUGCUCCAGUAAUCACUUUCAUGGAGUGGCCCAAUGUUGUAUGAAAGAACUUACAUGUCCCAGUCUAAUCCUCUCAUUAAAUGGGAGACAAAUUGGCUUGUUUAAUUCACCCAGAAAUUUAGCUUAUAUUUGCUUUGUUUUUAAUGAAAUAAAUAAAUUUCCUGAUGAGUUUUGAAAACACAAUUUUAACACCCUUGCAGAAGAAUCUUUAGUUUUCUUUUCAUUCCUGUGUUUCCUGAAUUAAAUCUCAAAGUGGGUAGAGCUAUAGAAAGAGGCUCAGUGGUAAGAAGAAAAUAUGUCCCUCCCAUGGUCAAUACACCUAGAGUUGACAUUGAAAAGACACUUUUCCUCAGUCCUGGAGGGGAAAUGAGUCAGAUAUGGAGGUACCAUCAACUUCAACCAAGCUACUGUCUGUGAUGACAAGUGAGAGAACAAAAUUAAAGAAAGGUGGAAAGGAAAAUAGUUAUUCUAUGGUACACUGAUUAUUUGAUCAUUUUCUCUUCUAAAGAAAACUUUGGAGAUAAAUUUUUCCAUUGUUAAGUCCUUAGUUUCUGAGGAUCAGCUGGGCACAGAUCCCAGGAGGCAGGAUGCUCAGGGUUCCUGGCAGGAUCCCUUCAAGGAUGUGAUACCUGGACUCCCUAGGUCCUGGGGACCUCUAGCACCAUCUUCUAUCUUGUCCUCUACCUUCUCUUACAUAUGACCUGCCUUCCAGCUUCCCUUGAUUUGCCAGUCCUUCUCACACCUAUGCCUUUCCUCUGUUGUUUCCCUCAUCUUCCAAGAGUACUUUUCCUGCUUGGUGAGAAGCUUGCUUUUCCAGACACUGGAGAGAAGCUAUGAGCUUCCCACAUGACCCCAAUGAAGCCUUCCUUCCCAUCUCCAGGCUGACCAGUUUGUUUUCCUUUGCAACUUCUGAACUUUGACUUACCUUCUCACACUACUAAUUCUGCUUGGUUUGGCUACACUGUCAUCUUGGGUUGCAGAAAGUUUCACUUUUAAACAGUUGAAUUAAAGUUAAUUUUAGGACCUAGUGUUGUUAGCUUACCUGACAUGCAGCAAUCCUAACUUCCUUGAUACUGUACGUAUAAAUCUUUAGGUGAAUUUUAUUUGCUCUUCCCAAAGAAAUGAGCAGUUUUGCAGUUGGUCUUAAAGAUGGUUCUCUUUCUCUUUAGGAGAAAGGAAAUACAAAACAGAGGUGUGUGCAUUUAGGAAUGCACAAGGUAAGCUAGUUCUCUGAAAUGGUUCAAGUCUAUGGGGAGUGACUCACGAGCUUGUUGACAGAUUGUUUUUUGAAGGGGGAUGACACAUAUGUUUAGAAAUAAUAAAUCUUUUCACCUAGAGCUUCCUCAAAUCUAGCAGCCUGAUAUGAUUCACAAAUUCAUGAUAGAACCUGCCUGAUAAGGCACCAAGCCUGCUCCUGCCUACUUGAUAUGUCUGGAUGAGACUUGCCUUUCAACUGAGCUGCCUUUAAAUAAGAGACACUUGCUCUUGGAAUAUCAAUCAGAUGAUUUCUAUUGGAAAUGCAUAUUACUAUCAGUUUGAUUCUGCCUUUCAACUCCCCAAAUCCACUUCUAAUUGUUAUGCCAUAACAUUCUUACUCAUAAAAGGGGCAAUAAAAUUUACUUGGAAAGGAAUCUUAAAAUGUGGGGAAAUUGUUUUUGUAAGAUGUAUAGUAAAGUGCUGUAAUUGGAACUUUACCCAACAAUGAUAUUUUGGCCUAGAUUUUAUUCUUGCAUUAGCUAUAAAAGUUUGCUACACAAAUUAAUAAGCAGAUGCUAGGGAGCUUGAAUAACCAACUUAAAAAGACAUUAUUGUGAAAUACUUGAUAAAUACCAACUUGGAAAAGAAAUCCAACAAGCCAAUUAAUAGAUGUUUAUUUAGUGAAAGAGGUGCAAGUGAGUCUUUGCUUUUUAUUAUAUUGUUACUAUUGUUUGUCACUUUGUCUACUCGGCAAUAAUUGCAUUGGAUUUGCUUUAAAAUGUUCUACAUUUCCACCUUGUUAGCUCAAAUUGAGGAUUUUGCUGCAUUUAGUCAUUUUAGGAGGAAUAACCGUUCUGCAAAGUUUUCUGUUUCCUUAAACUGUAGACUGUUCUCCUUAGUGGAAAAUGGCUGCUGAGUUUGCGAAAACAGUACAAAAGAUUUCAGCAUAAAGAUGCUGGAUCAUUUGAAAUUCUCCAUCUCUGCAAAAUUCUCAAAUUAGGCUUAUGAAAGCAAUCGGAUUUAGCAAACAGCUAAUUGAACAAAGCAAAAGCUUAUCAGCAAGCCUGGAUUUGGACUGCACUUGUUCCCACAUUCUCUUAGCAGCAACAUGUCUUCAGUGUCCCAGUUGGAACUGCUUGACAAAACUGUAUGGUGCUGUCAAGGCCCUGGAAGGAAAGCAAGGGGUUCAUGAUGUAGAAGGAGUAAACUUAUUAAAGAGAUCCCCAGUGGAGCACUUGUAAUGAGCUGAAGAUUUCUCCAGAGGCCUGUUGCCUGUCUGAUGACAACAGGAAACAUUUUUCUAAACCAGGAGGUUUACAAUCUACAGUGGAGCACCUGAGUGUAAUCAGAAAUAGCUCUUGUGGUUGGCUCCCUGACAAUGAUCAACAACUUGAUGGAUGAGUUCAUUUUGUAAAUCCUUUCUGGAACCUCCUCCGUGAUAAAAUAUGCUGGGCUUUUUUCAAUUGUGAUCUGCUGAGGGUAGGAAAAAGGCAUUUUUUUCCUAUACCACUCAAUGCCCUUGGCAUAGUUCUCAUCAUUGUCAAAAAAGUGGAUUUCUUGAGAGGCUUUGACCACUGCUGGAUGGAGGUUCAGCAUCUCUAGCAGGGCCCUUGUGCCCCCUUUCCUCACCCCAAUGAUAAUGGCCUUCGGGAGCUGCUGGACCAGGUCAUGGAGGCGAACCUGCUCCUUGGAAGUGUUGCCCUUCCGGAACUCAUGGAGCAGGCCACGCUUAAAUUGUAGGGCGCGGAGUGGCAAUUCAACCUGACUUCGGGCUCCACCAAAUCGGCCUUCAACGGGGCAAAGAGGUUGUAGCCUGCAAGCAACAGAGACACACUGUAAGAAGCUCAUUGUAACUAACUUCUCAUUUUUCUACUUCACCAGUCAGACUAAGACUUUCAAUGCAUAAAUAAAAUCACUGGUGCCCAGCCUGCUGCAAUCCAUAAUGAACAUAUGUUUGGAAAAUUUUAUUUUAAAUAACCCUGUAUUAAAUGGAGCAUAUAUAAUUGAUGGGAUUUUUUAUUAGCACUCCUUAAAAUUUUUAUUCACCAUGCACUUAAUUGACUCCAGCAUGUACUUAUGCUCAUAGUACAGGACAGAUAAGUGACACCAGCCAUACUAAUAGCUUUUCAACAGCUCACCAGUUAAAAUCAUUUAGAAAAUGUGAAAGGGAGAAGAUUAUAAUCUUCAGUUGGGAGGCUGAAGGGCAGAGAAGAGGCCAUUUGUUUCUGGUUUCACAUGGUGUUAUUUUCUUGCAGCUCAGCAACACUUACAUGGCUCUUAAAAAUCUUUGAGAUAGAAUCUGAAAAGAAGUCCCACUCUCUAUCCUUGGCUGUCUGCAUCAUCAACCUGCAAAAUUCCAGUCUUGGUACUUGCUGAGCUUUUCAUUCUAUGAGAAUUUCUGCCCUUGGCCUUGGUGAUAGCCAGAAGAGUACUAUAUUUCUUCUGCCUCUCUUUCUAUUUCUAUUUAAAGAGGUCAGGAGUAUGUUUUCACUUUGCUGAAUGUGGGAACAAACCCAAUUACCUACCAUCCGCGAGUGCUGUAUAUCAUCUACCACAACUGUGACCAGAAAUCAACAAGACCUUGAUGGGGCCAGAAACCUCAGCUCCUCACUGCCAAGUACAUUUAAGUAAAAGAAUGGAGUUCAUGAGGGAAGGAAUACAAUGGAUAGAGCCAGAAAGGAGGAUUUCCACUUUAAUAUUACCCUGAAUAAUGAUUGGCAGCAGAAGUGUGUUUGAGAGAUUUCAAGCAAGACAUACUACUGCUAGCAUGAAGAUGCAAAGGUUUGGAGAGCAGCCUCUAGGAAUUGACAGUGAUCCCUGGCCAACAGCCAACAAGAAAACCUCACUGCUACAACCACAAGGAACUGGAUUCUGCCAACUGUAAGAAUGAACUUGGAAGUAGAUUCUUCUCUAGUUUCUCCAGCAAAGAAAGAGCCCAGUCCACUCGACAGCUGGAUGUCAGCCUAGUAGGACCCUCAGCAGAGAAUCCAGUGCAGCCUGCCUGGAUUUCUGACCUACACAACCAUGAACUGCAGAAUCUUGGGUGCUGCUUUAAGUUGUUAUGUUUGUAAUCAUUUAUGUAUCAGUAGAAAAUGAAUGCAGGUGAUUUUUUUUCCCUGAAGCUUUUUGUUCACAAAUAAUAAGUGCCCAAUAGCAAAAGCUCACCUUCAAGACUACAUUGUACCCAUAACAAUACUAGCUCUUCUGCUUAAACUUUGAACAGAGAAGAUAAUGCAAUUGACUGUGCUAUUGGCAGGCAAAGGUCAAUUCAGUGAAAUGUCAAAUACUUUUCAGUGGAAAGGCAGAUCAUUACAUCUGACACCAAGUCAGCACCCUGCAUUAUCAUCUGCAGGCCAUUGUCCUUAUUAUUACUGUCUCAGAACUUGACUCCUUCAUCUUUUCUUCAGCCAAACCACGUUCUCCAGUGCUCUGAAAGUGCCUCUCUCCUAGGCCUCUGCAGUUAAGUGGAGUUACUGUGCAUCUAAUAAGCCCAUGAGAGCUCCACUGCCUGUAAGAAACUUUUUUGAUCUCAUCAAUUGAAAGGAGUUUAUUUCUUCUAAACAAAGAAUUCUAAUGUAUACUUAUUUAUGAUGGAGGCAAGGCUGGAGAAGUUCAGUGACCCUGCUAGGUGGGAAACCCCUUAAUAGUGUGCUGCCUAUAUUCCAUGCUUAACUUAACGACACUUAAGAAGUCAAUAACCAUUGGCUAAAUGUAUGUAUGAAUGAAUGGACAGUGAAAAAAUAAGCACACAUAGUAAACUAAGAGUAGAUCACUUAUCGCCUGGUUGCUGCAAUAAUGAUAUUUUCUAUCUACCUCAAAAAGAGGGGAAGGAGAGUUGGGAAAAAUUAGUAGCAUAUUUAAAACUGCAUUUUAAAUAAUGACCAACCAUUAAAUUAGUCAUUUAACAUUUUUCUAGCAAUAGAAUCUAGGCCUAUAUAGAUAUAUAAGAACAAAUUUUACUUUUAUUUCCUAUUCCGAUGGUCCUUUCCAAGUUGGAUAGUGCUUAUCUUGCUACCCUUAAUUUAUGCAGAACAAAGUAUGUAUGUGCUUUUAGUCAUCUUCUUCACAGCAACAAUGAAUUUUCAUUAGUUCCCCCAUUCUUUCAUUUUCUGGUCCCUUUCAUAUAUUUAUUUGUUGCCUGAUCUUUUGUAGAGCACUACUCCUACACAAAUUAUCAAAUUUUCAAAGCAAACAUAUUGGAUAUAUUAGCUCCCUUACUUUGAAUUAUGAAAUAAAAGAAUUCAAAGAAGUUAACUUAUCCAAUAUCAAAUAGCUAAGAAGUAUUGGAGCUGUAGGUGUCUUCUUCAUCAUUUCCAAAUGUUUGCAUUGUUGCCUCUAUUAUUUCCAAUCAUGACUUGUAAAUAAGAAUGCACAUUUGUUAUAACUCAGGCAAUGAGUAUAAUGUGGCCACUGAAGAGAGGGAAGCCACUGGUGGAUGGUACAAUCCUAAUUUCACCAGGUAAUUCCCUUAUUCCUCUUAAUAGUCUCUUUAAACACAACUUUGAGGUUCAGUAUGUAUGGUAAAAAACAACCUUUCACUUAAUAAUUUUAUCCAAUAUAAUAAUAACUAUAAUAACUGCUAUAUUGAGUCCCUAAAACUUUAUUUCAGGGGUAUACUUGAUACAUUUAUGAAAUUCCAGGGGGGUGAAUUCCCUGAUAGCAAUUAACUGAGUAGUAACUGAAGUAGUAACUCACUGGUAUUUCUUUGGGAACUCUGUACACAUGGAAUUCCUUCUCUGUCAAAGAUUAAGAGACUUUCAAAAUCUUCAUGAUUUUGAAACGUGAGGUUUAGGCUUUAAUGAUUUUUCUUAAAAAAAAAGAAGUGAAAGAAAAGCAGUCUAUGCUUUAAACAGAAUAAAUAAGUAAGACAAAAUUAAUCAAUAAGACUUAGUUGAGGUUGCUUACAUGGGAGAUCUAUUUAUCUUACACAUUUUCCAUCUGUACAAGGCCAUUUUUGUGUUAUUUAUAUGUGAUUAACAUAAUUUGACAAUCUGGUUUAUUAGUAUACUUGGUAACUAAUUAUAUGUAAAAUGCUAACAAUAUUUUCCCAGCUGUAUCUUAGCAAGGGGACUUACUCUGAUGUAUUAAAACAAAUGUCACAAAGAUUCUCCCCUUCCCUCCCUUCUUCCUUUCUUCUACACCUAUCUUUAACUCACUAAUGAAAACAAAGUUUAGAACAUCAAAUAUUGUUGGAAAAAUUGUUGAUCAUGCAUAUUACCAUGGGAAUGCUAUAUUCUACCUUUUAGUUAGAAAGCUUGAGGAAAUGUCUACUUUUCUUUGUUCUGUAGCUUUUUUCCCUCUUUCCUCAUUUUCUUUUUGGGUAUAAUGGGCAGAUUUAAAAAAUAUGCCAAGGAGAUAAAAUAAGGGACUUCCAAAUGAUUUGGAUUUUAUAUUGGUGUACUAUGGUUAUAUGUAACAGUGUGAUUCAUUGUGACAUAUUUAUACACGCACAAAACAAUUUGAUCAAUUUAAUUCCCCACCACCUCCUCCCUAAAUCCCUUUCCUCAACUCAAUUGGUCUCCUUUGUAUUUUCAUGACAUGCUCCCCACUUUUUUUUUUUUUUAAAUUUUUGCCUAUCUAGCUUCUGCAUAUGAGAGAGGACACAUCACCCUUGACUAUCUGAGUCUGGCUUAUUUUGCUUAACAUGUUCUCCAGUUCCAUCAAUUUUCCUGCAAAUGACACAAUUUUAUUUUUA